rnacentral:misc_RNA from 1 species
UCCUCUUUACAGAGGCAGUUUGUUUCGAGUUCCCGGCUUUACCCGCUGGUAACAAAACAUGAGGGUUGCGCUCGUUGCGGGACUUAACCCAACAUUUCACAACACGAGCUGACGACAGCCAUGCACCACCUGUGCACCACCCUCGAAGGCGGCUCCGUUUCGGGAGAUUGCAGGUGCAUGUCAAGCCCUGGUAAGGUUCUUCGCGUUGCAUCGAAUUAAGCCACAUGCUCCACCGCUUGUGCGGGCCCCCGCCAAUUCCUUUGAGUUUCAACCUUGCGGCCGUAGUCCCCAGGCGGUUCACUUAAUGCGUUAGCUGCGGCACCGAGGCUUACGCCCCAACACCUAGUGAACAUCGUUUACGGCCAAGACUAC